GCACAAUGUUUUUUAAAUUGUUUUAUUAAAAUGUUGACAUGUUGAAUAAAUGACGAUACACAUAAACGAGGUAAGCAGAAUAUCUUAUAAUUUGUUUUUAAGCCAAUUGUAAUUAUGUGUAUAAUAUUAUUUUAUAGUAAUAAUAAUACAGAAUUCAGUGUUGAAUCAAUGACAAAUUAAACUGUAUUGAAUUGAUAAAUUUGUUUGACUUUAUCAUUAGGAAAAGAAUUAUUGCAAGAAAAUUCCCAGUUGAUAUUUGACUGUUUACUGAAUAUCCUAGCAUUCACGAAAUAUAUGUCGUGUUAAAAAAUAUAUCCAGUUUGAUCGACAUGAUGCUCCAAAACUCUAUUUAUACAUGUUAUGUGUCUGAGUUGCUGCAAUAAUCUGUUAAAAAGACACUUCGAAUCAAUAAUUACCAGUGAAUUAUAAGUUUUUAUAUUGAUGGGAAUAAAACCAUGAACUUAUAACGACGGCCUCUAUUAUACGAUCGACAAGAUUGAUAUAUCUCAAAGUUUGAGUACGUAGUAGUUUGCUUCUUUCAUAUUUGUUCUUGUAUAUUUUCAGAAAAUUUGUAAGUAAAAAUUUAGAUUGGCCCUUCUUUGUACCAUUGUUUUUGGAAUAUUGUAGGUUGAAUGGAAAAUCUCAGAUCGAUAAAAAUAUUCUAAUGUUGUUUUUUUAUCUUAAAUAUUUUAGCAAUGAAUCGAUACAUUCCGGCUUAAGAUUAUCCAGAUGAAGGAUUCAGCUGGGGUUCUGUUGUUCAGAAGAGAAAAAACUUUGAACAUGGCUUACGUGAGUGUCGUUUCAACUAUAUUCAUAUGUGUCUUUAAGGAUUUUCGCUUGUCAUGUUUAAGAUUUUUUUGUCAGAUUUCCGAAGUCCUCUAGUUUUAUCCGUUUGAAUGCUUUAAAUAAUUUGGUCCAUUGACCCCCAUUUUUCUUUUUAUAAAUCUUUUACAUGUAUAAUUAUAAUCCAUUGUAAAAGUCUUAUAAAAUCUUAUUCAUUUUUUAAUAGUUUUUGAGAAAUUUAACUUGUCAAUGAUAAAGCAAUGAAAAAUCAAGAGAGAACAUUUUUCCGCCAAACUUUCAAUGGAUAAUAUAUCGACAACAAAUGCAUUGACCUCUAUAUUUUUUUUGGUAUUUUUGAUUCCUUAAUUAAUUGCCUAUCAAUAGAUACUAGUGUUAUGGAAAGCUAAUCAUUUUGAAGCUAUUUUGAACUUCAUUAUAUGUUUCUUGUUAUAAAAUUCAAAAUACUUUUAAAUUGAAUGCAUCAAGCGGAUGAUCCAGAAAAGACGGCAACUGCUGCUUGCAAAGGUUUAGAAACGUACGUCCAAUACUAUAUUCAUAUUUGUCAUUGAACAUAAUUCUAAUACCUCCAUAAGGAAUUCUGUUAGAAAAUAAUAAUCCUGUUGUUGUACUGAAGUAAGUUUAUUUUCCGAAUAUUAAUUAUUUUUUUGAUGAUCUAUUUUACAAAUUCAAAUGACGUCAUUUUUUUGUCAUUUUGUACUAUUUCAAAUAUGACGUCACUUGGCGUUGAGGUUGAAACUUAUUCGAAUGUGUCUACAUUUUGUGUUGCUAAUGUCUGGUUAUGUAAUGUAUUUCAGUUGUUUCCUGUAAUUAGUUAAUACUUCAGUUUUAUCAUGUACAGCUUUUGUAUAGUAAUUUUAUAAAUUUACUGUUUGAAAAAGUAUAAAUUAUUCUAAAUUAUAGAGAUGUUCUGGUAUCUAAGAGAAAACCCUGACCGUUUUUGGUCCUCGAUGCUGUUCGACUAUGUGCUUGUUUCGGCUUUCAAACUUUUGUAUCUUUUAGAUCUUGUGUGAACAAAAUGCACUUCUGGCGUAUUAAAAUUUUGAACUUGUUGCCUUUUGUUGGCUGUUUUUGUGUGUUUCUUUGUCAAUUGUGUUCUCCAAUUCAUUUAUAUUGUAGUCCUGUAAUGAUGUGUUGUCAUUUUAAUGUUAUAUUUCACAUGGCUAUAAAAGAGGGAGGUUUGGCAUGCCACAAAACCAGGUUCAACCCCCCAUUUUUUUCCUUUAAAAAUGUCCUGUACCAAGUCAGGAAUAUGGCCAUUGUUAUAUUAUAGUUCGUUUCUGUGUGUAUUACAUUGUAACGUUGCAUCGUUUGUUUUCUAUUAUUUUUAAGUGUAAAUUCACAUUGCGAUAAGACGUGUCACGGUACUUGUCUAUCCCAAAUUUGUGUAUUUGGUUUUGAUGUUAUAUUUGUUAUUCUCGUGGGAUUUUGUCUGAUGCUUGGUCCGUUUCUGUGUGUGUUACAUUGUAUUGUUGUGUCGUUGUUCUCCUCUUAUAUUUAUUGCGUUUCCCUCAGUUUUAGUUUGUUACCCCGAUUUUGUUUUUUGUCCUCUACUGUCGCCUUUAUCUAUUGCAUCAGUAUUAAAGUAAAACGUUUUUGUCAUAUGUUCCAUUUCGUCAGAGUGUUUUUACUCUGAAUUCUGAUACAUCAACCAACAUUUGGUUAGAUAUGGUGAGAUUAUUUCAAGUGUUAUAUCUAGAUGUUAAGUUUGUACUAUAAGAUCAGCAAUAGAGUUUCUGACUUUCUGCAUUUAUCCCCUUUUCAAAAAUAAAUGACUCUAUUUUAUCAUCAAUGACUGAAUUAAGCAAAAUUGAAUGAAUAAUAGUAAUAAUCGUAAUCAUCUAUUUUGACAAUGAAAAGAACAAAAUUACCAAAGCACGAUAUUGAUAUUAGCGAGGGAUACACGAGAUUCCUUAGAAAAGAAGAUUUGAAUGAAAACAAAUAAUGUUUCAACCAAUCAUAACUAUUUUGAAAUUGGUAACUUGCUUUCGGUUUGUCGCAUAUGUAUAGUUUUACAAUAAGUGUUCGUAUGCAUAGGUUUAAUGAAUUGUCAUGUACUGAAGUUGUCAGUCUUUCAAUGCCAUAAUUGCAUGACCGUUUAAAUGAGGAUGAGACCCCCCUGGUCUUUCAAUGUCCAUAUAAUUCAACUUAAUCACCGACUCUGCAUAUAUAAAGGUUGUAUUAGAAGGAUUUCCAAAAAUAAUGUCAUCUACGACUAUUUUUGGGCCCUCCGUAAACAUAGAAAACAGGAAGUGUACCCAAAUUUGUUUUAGUCUCGUUUGUAUCUACCUAUUAACUAACUAUCUGCUAAAUAUUAAAGAGAUUGAGAGAUCAGGGAGCUCUCACCAUUGCCCUGUGCCCCUUGUCCUGAAAUUUUCACAAUUUUUUGCUGAAAAUGACAAUCUAAGCCCUCUGAACAUGACAUUAUUCUCAAAAAUUCUUUUGUUACAAUCUUUAUAUAUACUACAGAGUCUAUGAAUUCGUCCAAUUUUAUGUACAUUUCGUUAUUGAAGCGGUCUUGGGUAGGUUUACACUAUAUAUUUAUGUUUUUUUGGCUUUCUAUAUUUAUUUCUAUUUAUAUUUCUAAAUGUUUCUAGAGGGAUCGGUUUUUGUUUAUGUUUUAAAAUAUAUUAGAUUUAAAAUAACAUUUUGAUGUUGUUUUAUUGAUAAAAACAUAUAUAUCCUGGUAGUUUGGUAUUUUUGCUAUUUUAGUGUUUGUUAUAAGGUAAGGUGGUUUCGGUCAUACAGUGACCAAUGCAAACAUCUACGUAAUUUGGUCUCUUGAUUUUGCCAUUGCUUUAGGUUCUUUCCGUUUAGAAUUUUCCACGGUGUUCAGUAUUUUUGUUAUUUUACUUUUUCCAGUUACAUCACUUCUUUUCAUUUCAAUUUGAUUUGCUACUGAGGAUAAGCGUUUCCUUUACAUGCAAACCGUGUCACAACAUCAGAGUUAAUAAUAUACUAUGGUGCAGAACCAUGAAAACGGAAUUACUUCAAACCCAAAAAAUUAUGCAAAAUACGCGACAGCUAUCUAUUAAUAGGAGUUACAACAAUCUGAAUGUUUCAAGUAUUUUAAAAUUUUAUUUAUUAACAGAAAUGUUGCAAAACAUAAUCGUAAAAUUCAUGAGUUUAAAUGUUUAUAUAAACUGCUGAUUUCAUUUUUGUUAUCUAUUAGAUAAAAAGAUAAACAAAGAAUUUAUAAUCCAUAUGUUCUACUUUUUUAUGUCAUUUAAUGUCAUGUAUAUUAAUAGAUAUGAAAUUGGAUUAGUUGAAAUAAUAGUAUAAGAAUUUAAAUGUUUAUAUAAACUGCUGAUUUCAUUUUUGUUAUGAUCAUAUUUCAUCUAUUAGAUAAAAAGAUAAACAAACAAUUUAUAAUCCAAAUUUUCUACUUUUUUAUGUCAUUUAAUGUCAUGUAUAUUAAUAUAUAUGAAAUUGGAUUCGUUGAAAUAAUAGUAUAAGAAUUUAAAUUACUCAAGUUAAGUUUUAUCAGUUAUAUCAAAACAUCGUCUCCUUAUGUUUCUUCGGUCUUCUCAUACUUAUUCCAAAAUCGUUCAAGCAUGUCAUUAAUUCGGUUUUCGUAUUUUUUUCGUCUCAAUUUUAUAGUGUAAUAGCCUUCAUCUUAAGUGCUUUGAAAGCAAUUGCCUUCUUUGACCUCUUAGAAAAGAAAUAAUUCUUAAAAACUUAAGUAAAGAUUACUUUAAGACGGAACCAGUCCUAAAUUGUUUAAAUUAUCAUGAUUAAAAAAGAGGGACGACAAAGGGGGAUUAACAUUGUUGAAAUAUAAUCUUUCAGAAUAGAUAUUUUAAUUCUAUCUUAUAUACCUUCAUGCCAAAUCCAAUGCAAGAAAAACUCCGUCGUCUGAAGAGCGCCUAAUUCACCAUUAAGAUCUUCCGACAACACUAUAUCAAUUUUUUAUCCUCCAAAUACAGGUUCAAGCUAUGCAGGUAUCAAAUUGUUUAAUAACAAGCACAUUUUAACUAACAAAAACUCUGAUAUAUGCUUACCUUGCAUAUGCUUAGGCACUUUCAAACAUUUUUAAAAAAUGACAUUUUCUGUUUUACGUUUCACGGUUUCAAUGAUAUUUAUUUUGAUGUUAAAUGCAAAUAGCGAAUAACUAUAACAAUAUCAAUAUUCUUGUGAAGUUUUACGAUGAUCAGUGUAAAAAUAUAAUACGAUAGUAACAGAACUCCGAUCUUUUUUGACGCAAAACGUUACGUUGAAAACGGAAAAAAGGAAUCAUUAAGUGUUUGAAUUUUGAAUUUAAAAUCCUAUUUUUUUUUUCUUUAUUUAGAGUCUAUGUAAUAAUUUGUAUGACAAUCAUACACAAAAUGGGAUUCGUACCAAAAUCGUUCGUAACGCGUAAAAGAAAACCUUUAAUAUUCCAAAUAAUUGUUAAAAAAUAUUGUAUUCAAAUUGGUUUUAAGCAAAGACAAAAUGACACUCAAAAAGUUUAAAUGUAAUAAAUAGAAAUUAAUGAUUCCAUUUUUAUAUAAUUUUGCACAAAAUCAUAUUAUUCCUAACUGUGUAUGCUACCUUGAUACUAAAUCUAUUUGUUAGGUACUGAUUGAUAUUUUUAAACUUUCAUACAUCGCUAUUUUGUUAAUUUUCAGUAGUAUCAGCUCGCUUUCAGGAAUUAUAAGUUCUCUGAGAUCCAGUUUUAUGUGUUAAUCUGAGAAGGUCACUUUUCUUUUUAAACGGAACUUAAUAGUUCCCUUAUGAUUUACUGUGACAAUGUCUCAAUUAACGAAAUUAUUGAGUAUCAUCAAACAUGUUUACGCUCGCCACAUUUCUAUGUUUGUCCAAAGUCAGUAACUUGUAAUCCAGUGUUGCUCUAUAUUGUUGUAUUUCGGUUGGUUUUUUUCUGUCUUGUUAUACACAUUAAACUAUACCUUUAUAUUUCUCUCGUGAAUUGUUUUGUAUUUUUAAUGUCGGGGGCUUUUUUAACUUUAAACACAUGCCACACAGAUGAACAAGUCAUCAAUAUGAUGUAGGUUUAUUUUUGCUUAAUUUUUGCUUAUUUGUCGACAACUUUGGAAAGUAAACUUUUCAACAAAUUGUCGGCAUUCAAAUGGGAACGAACUCUGUGCCUCUUUUGCGGACCUUUUCUUAUUUUCGAAUGAAUCUGAUGUUCUGCAGACAUUAUCAAAACAAGAUUAUUAAUGCAAAAAAACAAGAUAAUUUAAUUUCACAUUCAGAUACAUUGAUUAUGUUCUUUACAUUAACAAUCUAAACUUUUUCUGACUUCUAUUAAUAUAUUCUUCAGGAACUAGGGAUAAAUAACACACUUGGAAAUCCUACAAAUACACUAAGUACGCUAACGAAGUAGGAGAUCCUGGAAAACCUCAAAUCUAAUCUCCUUUGGUGUUAAUCCAAAGGAUGAAGACCAGGAUCUUCCAUACUUAUAUUGGAUUCCUAAGCUUCACAAGAAUCCUUAUAAAGAAAGGUAUAUUGCAAGUUCUUCAAAGUGUUCCACUAAACCCCUUUCUAAAGUUCGUACUGCCAUACUCACUGCAGUCAAAGAAGGACUUCAGAAAUUCUGAAACAGCAUAUUCAAGAAGUGGUGUUAAUCAGAUGUGGAUACUGAAAAAUUCAAAAGAGAUAUUGGUGAAUUUACAAUCUCAAUCAUUAAAACAUUGUACCAACAUUAAAACCUUGGAUUUUUCAACUCUUUAUACGACUAUUUCACAAACUAAACUUAAAGCUCGAAUGAAAGAACUCGUCAGCUUAUGUUUCGUUAACAAACAUGGCACUAGACGUUUUACAUAUCUAGUUUUGGGCUGGAAUUCAGCUUACUUUGUGAAAAAUCAUACAGAGUCAAGGAGAAAAUAUACCGACGAGGAUAUCACUGCCAUGCUGUCACCCAAGUACCAGAAUCUAUGAAAAACGAGACGAUUUUAUUUUUGACAUAAUCAAUUCUCCAUCUUAGUAGCAAUAUAGAACGUCCCAUGCAUAUGGGGUAAAUAUUUCCUACUCAAAGCUUGUUUCUGCUAUUCAGUCUAUACAAAACGUUUCCAGUGUAUUUUUGAUCCUGACUUAUUUAAUAAAACGUUGCUUAUAUAUGUUGCUAAGGUUCUUUUCAUUAAGGAUUUUCCUCGGAGUUCGGUACUUUUGUUGUUUUACUUUUGGUAGUUCUUCCUGUCAUAUCUUUUCGAUUGCCGAUUUGCUUUGGCAGACAUGCGUCACUUCUGCGUGCGAAUCAUGUUAAAACAGAAGGGUAAAUAAAAUACGGAUUUGCAGAUCAUUAAAAAAAAAAAAAAAGCUAAAAUUAAAUCCCAGAAUAUGUAAAAUAAACUACUGAAAGGAGUUUCACACGAUCUUAGUGUUUCAAUUAAUUUAUAUUUGAAAUAUUGCAAAACAUGUGGCACUUAAAAGUAAUACGUUUAAAUAGUUACAUAACUGCUGAUGACAUUUAUGUUAUGAUCUUAUUUCAUCUAUUAGACAAAAAGAUUAACUCUUGGCAUUUACUUUAGGCAUUGUAGAGAGAAAUGUUUAAAACUAAAUUGGGAAAAUAAGAUUGAAAAGAUGAAUAAAUUAUUUUGUUCUUGGCAAAAAUAAAAUCUUACUAUUUCUGGAAAAAAAUUGAUUAUUAAAACAUUUAUUGUGUCCAUUUUUACUUUUGUGGGAUCUGCUUGCAGAGUUCCGGAGGAAUUUUUAAAAGAAAGAGAAAAAAGUUGUUUUAAAUUUGUUUGGGAUAAUAAACCAGAUUAAGUAAAGGAAAAGAAAUUCAAUUAUUGGUCCAUAUGAAAAGGAGGGAUUGGAUAUGAUAGAUAUAAGAAGUUAUUUCGCUGCUUAAAAUGCUAUGUGGGUAAAAAGACAGAAACAAACAGGAAGGAUAAGACAGACGAAAGCAUUAAAAAUAUCCCAGAUUUUUAUAAAGUUAUUAUAAAAUGUAGAAAAUUAACUGGUGGAGGUCUAACAAAAAAACCAGAAACAUUUAAAGAUGUAAGAAAACAAAUACUUUGGCACAAUAAAUUUAUUAAAUUUGAAAAUAAAGCUAUACUUUUUUUUAAUGGAUUAAAAGCGAACUUAUUAAUGUAAAUGAUAUCUUAGAUGAAAAAGACUUCAUUUUGAAUAACCUAAAAAAUAAAUCAAACUGAACAGCUGAAAUUAAUUUAGUAAAGAAAUCUAUAUCAAAAGACUGUGCAGUAAUUUUAAAAUCGGAAAAUUCUAUAAAAAGUAUGGUUAAUAUAAAAAGAAACCAAUUUAUAUUGGAUGGUUUACCUGUAACAAAUUAGAAUCAUUUACAAAUAAUUUAAUUUUGGAUGUAACGCGUCUUCUAAUUGGCUGACGUUAUUUUGUUAUCAGCCUAUAGACAUAAUUUAGUCAUGUGACCGUGACGUCAUCAACGUUCUUUCAUGGUUUUCUACGGUUUAAAAUGGAAUUUAGAAUUAAAUUAUAAGAAAUGACUGUAAUAUUUUUUCUGUCUAUUCGACAUAACAUAAAAACUGUGGUGAACACUGGUAAAUAACCCGCUACGCGCGUUAUUCAGCGUGCACUAAAUCUUUUAUGUUAUUUUGUAAUAGACAGAAAAAACAUUACAGUCAUUCCUUAAGUAAACUUUUAUAUGAGUCUCUGAUAAAUAAACAAUGUAACCAGCUAUUGGACCCCACAAAUGGCUGAGUAUAUUUGAUAUAGAUGAUGUGUUAUAUCAAAACUAUUUAUAUGAAUUUUUAUUCAGAUAGUUAAAAGAAAAUAAACUUAGAAUUUUCAGAUGGAAAUUACUACAACAUAUUCUACCUACAAAGAAACUUUUAUGCAGGUGGAAAAUUGUAAUCAAUAGUUCUUGUAAUUUUUGUCUUCUUUAUACUGUGUCCGUAUUUAAAACUUUUUUGGAAUAAAAUAAAUGAAGUUUUAAAGAAACGGUAAAAUAUUUUUUAAGAUAAAACUAAGACACUUAGUAUUUGAUUAUAAAACUUCUGAAGAAGAAUAUAUUGACUUUAACUAUUUUUUAACAAUUGUGGGUUUUUCAAUUAACAAAGUUUACUACGUAUCUGAUCAAAAGACAAAAAAUGUAAAAAUUUUCUCAAUUUUUCUCAAUGAGUUCAAUAGAAAAGUAUGUUUGAAAAUUAAAAGUAAUGUUUUAGCAACUAUUAGAAAACAUAUGAAUAGUCAUAUUAAGUGAUUAAGUGAUAUUAUUUAAUGUAUAUUUGAUGUACAGAAUGUAAUAUGUAUUUUACAACUAAUCACUACCCUGAGUGAUUAGUGGAUUGUAACAGGGAACAUCAUAAGGAGCUUGGACUCCUGAAGGAUAUUGUAACAAGCCAAUAUGUGUAUUCCAUAUGAUCUACUUUUUAUGUCAUUGUGUUUAUUAAUAAAUAUGAAAUUUGAUUAGUUGAAAUAUCAGUAUACGAACUCAAGUUAAGUUUUAUCAGUUCAAUAUAUUAAAACAUCGUCUCCUUAUGUUUCUUUCGUCUUUUCAUACGCAUUCCAAAAACGAUCAAGCAUGUCAGUAACUCAGUUUUAGUAAUUUGUUCGUCUCAAUUUGUAUAGUGUGUUAGCCUGCAUCUACAGUGCUUUGAAACAAAUUGCCUUUUUAACCUCGUCGAAUAGAAAUAAUUCGCGGUGCUUGAUUUCUUUUCUUAAUAACUUAAGUAAAAAUAGCUUUAAGACGGAUAAUAUUCAAUUAACCUGUUUAUCAUUGCUGAAAUAUAAUCUUUUAGAAUAUAUACAUAUCAUAAAUCCAUCUUUAUGUACAUAUAUUUUCAGCCAAAUCCAUGACAAGAAAAACUCCAUCGCCGAAAUCAAGAAGAGCGACUCGUACAUCAUUCAGACAUUCCGACAACACUAUAUCAAGAUUUUAUUCUGCAAAAGCCGGUUCCAGCUAUUCAG
rnacentral:lncRNA from 1 species